rnacentral:rRNA from 1 species
GAGGGGAGGGGGGGAACGCGGGUUGAUCAUCAUGACCUCUGGGAGAGAGGAGAGGUGGGCAGGGAGAGAGAGAGGGAGGGAGAAGGCCGGGCCGGGCCUUUUCCCUUGGACCCGCGGAAAGGGAAAGCCCUUUGAGGGAGGGAGGGAAGGGGAGGGCGCCGCCGCCGCCGCCGCCGCAGAGAUUAGGGCGCCAUCGGGCGCGCCCCGGCACCCGGACGGAGAGCCCGCCCUAAAGACCGCGACUCCACCGGCGGGCCGCGCUGAGCUCGAACACGAACACGGGCGGCUGAGGUUGAGCGCCGGUGUCUUAGCACUCGGCCUCCGUCUCCGCCUACGACGCCACCCGGCACUAGAAUAAUGGGGUUCGCUCACCGAUCCAGAGCCCACGACUACCUUCCACGGUCCCGCCGCCUCCACCGGCCGCCGCCGCCCCGGCCCCUACACGUCUAAUUCCCGCGGUUCCUCUCGCCGGUCCGGCGCGUCGUCGUCGUCGACGACGGCUGCCCGUCGCUCGGCCAGCUCUACGGGCGGUGCGGCGACGGCGUGCGGGCGCUUUAGCUCACCAGGCUCGUAAAGAGGAAGAAGUUGAGGUACCCGUGGCCGUGGCCGUGCCUGCCGCACUACCCCGGCCGGUCGCAGCCCUACAGCGCGAGGCUCAGCAGGUCCGGCCUGUCGCAGUGGGUCGUCGUCGCGACGGACCGCCCGUCGUUGCGGCUGCUCUCCCACCUCCUCGAGUGGCAGUCCUUGACGUAGUCGAGACUCCGAGUGGUCGGACGACGGAGACGGCCACCCUCGUGACCGCCGUGCCCCCUCUCCGGGCGGCAAUACUCCCCGGAGACCCCAUUGAAGUGUGCCUACCGCACCUCCUGGCGGCUACGGCGAUCGUCCCUUCGGAACCGCCAGUCGGAACCGUUGCGGUACCCCAGAGUGUUGUAACUACGAAGACCGUUCCCUUACGGUAAACUGGCGCCGCUUUUACCAUUAUGGCUCAAGUUAUACAGUAAACCAUUAGUCGUCGUCGACGUCGUAUAGAACAGAAGUGCCGACUUAGUCUCGCUCGUCGUACAGAACAGAAGUACCGUCUUAGUCUCGCUCGUCGUACAGAACAGAAGUGCCGUCUUAGUCUCGCUCGUUGUACAGGACAGAAGUGACGGCUUAGUCUCGCUCGUAUUACAGGACAGAAGUGCCGGCUUAGUCUCGCUCGUCGUAGAGGGCAGAAGUGCCGUCUUAGUCUCGCUCGUCGUAUAGUACAGAAGUACCGGCUUAGUUUCACNNNNNNNNNNNNNNNNNNNNNCCGACUUAGUGUCACUCGUCUUAUAGGGCAGAAGUGCCGGCUUAGUCUCACUCGACGUAUAGGGCAGAAGUGCCGGCUUAGUCUCGCUCGUCGUAUAGGGCAGAAGUGCCUGCUUUGUCUCGCUCGUCGUACAGGACAGAAGUGCCGGCUUAGUUUCGCUCGUCGUACAGGACAGAAGUGCCGGCUUAGUUUCGCUCGUCGUAUAGGACAGAAGUGCCGGCUUAGUUUUACUUGUCGCCAGACUUUCCCUAUUACCAGACUUUCACUCAUCGAAGAGUUUAUCUUAAUAACUGGUCUACUCCUCAUUCUGAAACUGUGGAAGUAGACCCGAAGUCCCAAGGGGGAAAUUCGGACAUAACUUCCCAUUUUCCCAAUGGAUGGUUCCAGGUGUGCUCCUCUAGGUUCAAGUUCGAUUACGUUCUGGGUCUCGGGGAUACCUAUUCUAGGGAUUCUAAGGAUCGAGUUGUGUACUAAGACACCGGUCUAACCUACCAUGUGAAAAGUCGUCACCACCUUUACAAAGGCUUAGAGUCAUACUCCCUUGUUCGGACUCCCUUGAUUAAUUCGGGCGCGCGGUUCGCUACUCGUUCAAACUCUUUUACGUCAACAAAUUCGUCUAGGAACUAGUACAUCUGUUUAGGGUACGUGUCCCACAUUGGAAUGUCGUAAACGCGGGCAGCAUAAAAUAUUAUAGUAGGGGUUUGGUUCAUUCUAUAUGGCCAAGAAUGUGAUUUGUUCUAAAUAGUUGGGGUCGGUUUGGCCUAUACCGGCGUCUACUACAAAAAUUGUCUUUUGCUACGAAGCUAGUCUUUUGAAACGUGGUUCUCACAUUACCGUUACCUGUAAGUUAGGACUUCAUAGUCUUCCAACCACUUGUUCCAAGACAACGGCAGUCCGCUGGCUAUGUAGGGAAGGCCUGACUGGUGUUUCCCCGGUUGGUUUCACUUCCACGACUAGAUCCACGAAAUCCUGUCCCUUUAAGAUCAACGUGGCAGCCUCCAGCAAGAUUCAUACCGCUUGGAAUGAUACCACCAUUACGUAGAAUACCGGUUGCAAAAGGAUUAAUACCGUUGGUUCUUAGUCAUGAACUUAACUCCUACGAUCUUCUAUCGACCAUGUCUUCGGGCCUUCUCGAGUUAGUUAACUUUCCGUGUAGGGGUAGGUUGUAGAUGUCGGAACCCCAAGAAAAUAAACUCGAGAAAACGACAACACUUUGUACCCUCGACGUAACACGACGUUACAGUCUAGAAGCGGUGGCCUAGGACGGAGGUUAAAAAGAAAGUCUUUCAGGGUUCCUCCGACCGAAGACGGAAACCGAUAACGUAGGACUAGGAAAAAGAGCUGGUUUUCGUUCUCUGUAAGAUCCUACACUGAACUAUUUACUCCCAGCCCUAAAUAGCCACAAUCUAUUCCGUGGUCGACGAUAGUUACUCCUCCUGUGUCUCAGACCAAACAAUGACUUAAAAGACAGAGUUGACUUUCUUCUUUUCCUCUACGUACGACGGUUCAAUAGUCGUCUAGAACGUUCGAACGUCUGACUAUAACAUCUCCGACUCUCUUCUGUGAGCAAAUCCUACCCCAAGUCAAAUCCCCUGUACCUACAUGGUCGUUCAAGAUUACUACACGGUCCAUGAAGUAGUUUACGGGACUCUCCCCGUAGCAACAGUCCAAACGAUUGUGGUGGUCCGUCCAGUCCGUAUAUGCUCCUCUCCCACUACUUCUUAAACGUCGUCGAACUUUUUCGUAUAAUGAGGUGCUCCAGGUGGUAACUGUGUAGACUCUGAUUACAUUAAUUCGCAAGGCUAUUACUACGAAACUCCCAGGCACUUUUGAAAUUGGUGUCCCUACGGCUACGAUACUUACCCGGUUGUCUGGGGGAACCUACGAAAAAACUACCAGAUACGUUUAUACGGGCCGUAUCAUCCAAACUUCAUGCUCCCUAAAACUUCUUACGACUAUAUGAAUUGAGAGGUUUACACUAGACAAGAAAUUCAAAACUGGCACUACUUCUUAUAAAACGACGACGACCCCAAAGUUUCUUUUAAUUUUAUAAGCUUAAGCUACGAGAAAAUUUACUAGCACAACUAUAAGUAAUAGGAUAUCAUCUCUACGGAUCGUUCAGGUUCGAAUCAACACAGACAACCUUGUUGAUAUAUUUCUUGAUGAACCGUAGUUGUCUGAUACUACCGUGACAAGUCGAUACCCUACGUUCGUGACCGGUUCCUAAGUGUGUCAAAUGUCUCGUAGCCUUUUCUCGAACCAGACACUCAAAGAGUCUCCACCUAGGUUGAUUUAACCGUUCACCCUCACUGCUAACAACACACUUUCAAACCUUAUAAUUGGUCUUUUUAUCGCACCUGUGUUAGUCUUUACACCGGUUGCAUACGACACAUGUCAAGAGCGGUAUGAGGAGAGCAUACAAUCGGAAACCGAGUCGACUAAUGUUCUGUAUGACAAUACUAGACUCCGUAUGUUCCUAGGGGACCACAUGGUAAAGACCUGUGCCCUUUCGACAGUCGAUACAUUCUAAGAACCUACGUCUUUGCGAAUAUAGACGGAGUUGACUGUUAUGGAACUUCUAUACCCUAGAGUUGGCCUGAUUAGGAUUACCUAAUAGAUGAUUACGAACGUCAGACUGAAACUCACCAGUAUGGUUACUCUUCUUAAAACAUCCGAAUAGGCAAGUGCUACCUAUGUAUUGCACGCCAAGACUUUUGUUACUUCAUAUAAGAAUGAUAUUUUCGAAAGGGUACGGUUAUUGAAGAGUGUUCAAACCAAGUUAACUAGGUUAUUGGCCUGUUCUCUGGUUACUACUAUUAGUCGUCAAACACAGCUCGCAAACGACCUCUCCUUCCAGCUUAUACCACCACCGGCGGUUGAGAUCACCUUCGUAGUUUCAGGAACUCGAACAAACUUACUAGACAACUCGUUCAAUGUCCUACUCUUAUAGACUUACAGGCACUAACGGUACAAAGAAACCACUGGUAUACAAACGAGUUCGCAAGAAGGAACGGUUGUUUGUUGAUACGUAGUUGUGUAUAGCUCCGGCCCGUUGUUUCGCCACCUUUGUGUGAACACGUGAAGUUCGUUGUAUGUUGGGACCGGCAACUACAAACGAACUUUGAGGGUUACUUCACACGUUGACCUCCCUCACUUUCCGGAGCCGAUGAGACUUUCCAUUUGAAACAUUCCGCGAAACUGUAUCAUGAUCAGUCGUAAAGUCGCUCCCGGAUCCCGAUCCAAAGACAUGUCUAAAUACCCGAAGCUCCCGGCACAUAAAUGAAAACUCGAUCUCGGAAUGUACGAUACAAGCGGGCUAGGCGUAGAGUGCCCUUAGCUGCGUCAAAACUACACGUUGCUGAUUGUCAGAUCAUACUGCCAGUUUCGUUUUGACGCCUUCCACUGUAGCAACAAACUUCCUCAAUUAGUGCGUAGGACUAGACACGCUCACUACGUUGCUCCCAAACAGAUACGGAUAAUAAAAAACAUCAGGGGAAUAAACUUACUUAUCUCAUUAUAUAUACUUAUAUAUACUAAUGACAUAUAUUGUUAUAUGGAAGGGCUCAAGUCUUUAAGGGCGCAGCUUCCCUUCUUUUUGCUUACUUG